rnacentral:rRNA from 1 species
UACGUAGGGUGCGAGCGUUAAUCGGAAUUACUGGGCGUAAAGUGUGCGCAGGCGGCCGAGCAAGUCGAGUGUGAAAGCCCCGAGCUUAACUUGGGAACUGCGCUCGAAACUACUUGGCUAGAGUGUGGCAGAGGGAGGUGGAAUUCCACGUGUAGCGGUGAAAUGCGUAGAGAUGUGGAGGAACACCGAUGGCGAAGGCAGCCUCCUGGGACAACACUGACGCUCAUGCACGAAAGCGUGGGGAGCAAACAGG